AGCCAGGAAGAAGGAUGCAGUGCGAAUCAUUCUGUUGAAAAUUAGCUUCAUCCUGGUCACCAAAGUAGAGCCUACAUCUGGACCUUUUUGUUCACUCACCCUCUUUCCCUCCGCAGGGCGGGUGCGUCUUGGCUAACUCAGUUGCCCUGCGGGACGACGUUUGCAUCACUCCUCUGGAAUGCUGCACCUCGGCUAUCCGGUGACCUAAAGAUGAAGAUCCGCACUGUUAACCUGUGUCCCUGGGGCCGUGGCGAUCACGAGUCAAGAGAGAGCUUUCCAUUGAGAAGGCGACGGGCCACGCCGCUCGGCUGCAGCUACG